GCCGAGGGAGUGAGUGCUGGCUUCUUCAGCGGCUGAUUUGGAGAGAGCCUUCGCACAGUGGAUAGUGACGAAUCUAGCUAGGCGCCGUUCCUCAGCGUCAACCUCUCCUCCCCCGGGUCCAUUCUAGGCUGAAACGUCAGCAUUCCAGCAGGGAGCAGAUGGGGCCUCCCCUUCUCUGAACCGGCCCUCACCCUGGGCGCAGCCGCCACAGUGUGAAGGGGCGGGUCUGGUGAGGCCACAGUCCCCUGGCUUGACGCCGACCUCGUGAGCCCUGGAGCCUGAGGCCUUGGGUGAGUGACACCGACUACUGACCCUCAGAAGCCACGGGAUUGCAACAAGCUUAAAGCAAGGAAGUCUUGGGCGUAAUUCGUAAUGUGGCCACAGGUAACUAACACAUGCAGGAAUUCUGAGACAAGCUGGUGGAGCUGCCAGGUGGAGUUAGCAAGAUCCCACGAUACUAGGUCAAUACACAAGACGCAGUUUCACUUCUGCCUGCUACUAGUCAAUCAUUAGAAAACAGAAUGUUUAAAUCUGUUUAAAUUAGCACCAAAAGUAAAAUAGAUGAGGAUAAGUUUAACUAAAUUUGUGCAAGACCUGCACAUAGAUGACGGAGAGAUGGACUGUGUGGGUCAGAAGACUCAGUCCCAUCAAGAUGGAAAUUCUUCCUGAAUUGGUUUAUAGAGUUAACACAGUCCUAAUCAAAAUGCCAGCAGCCUUUUUUGGUAAAAAUGCUUGAAGCCUGGCCUCAGUUUUUUGAAAGGAAAGGAGAAACUGGAGGACUUACACAAAGUGAUGUGAAGACUUCCUGUAGGAACUUCCCUGGGGGUCCAGUGGCUCGGACUCCGCACUCCCCAGGCCGGGGGCCUGGCUGGGAUCCCUGGUCAGGGACCUGAUCCCACACGCUGCAACAAAGGUCCCCGCGGGCCAACAGACCUGGCACAGCCAACUACAUAAAUAAACAUUUUUAAAAAGACUUACCUGUAAAACUGCAGUAAGACAGCUGAACCGACAGGCAGCAGGACAGAGCAGAGUCCAGAAGUGGGCGUGGAGACACGUGGUCUGUUUCUUUCUGACAUCAGGGCUUGUUGACGGGGGAAGGAACAUCUUUUCCAAAACUGGUGCCGAGGACUUUCCUGACGGUGCUCUGGAUAAGGAUCGGCCUGCUGAUGCGGGGACACAGGUUUGAUCCCUGGCUCUGGAAGGCUCCGCAUGCUGUGGAACAGCUAAGCCCUCGCUCCACAGCUGCUGAGCGGGUGCUGAAGAGCCCGAGAGCUGCUAUGGAGGCCCGCAGACCCAGACAGACCUGCGCUCCAUACGUAAGGAGAGGCCCCACUGCUGCGAGAAGCCCGGCACCGCAGGGAAGGGCAGCCCCCGCCGGCCGCAGCUAGAGAAAUCCGCUGCACGGCAGCCAAGACCCAGCGCAGCCAAAAAUAAGUGAAUAAACUAGAAAUUUAAACACGGUGCCGGGACCAGCGAGUCAGUGUUUGGAAAGAGAGGGACAACCCUGCUUCCUCGUAACACAUCCCAGAUUCACAGAUGACAGGUCAUGGCUCAACAUGAAAGCCAAGGCUACGAGUCCUGAAGACCCAGGACGGCUGCUCUGGGACUCAGGGGCUGUUUAGAGACUAAUCCGCAGUGACUAGUCUGUGGUCAGGGGUCCGUUUCUGGAGCUCCCUGGGGGUGAUUAGAACCCAGGGGAUCCGCAAGACACGUGCAAGCCUGGCCUUCCUUUGGCCCCUUUUCCUGCCCCCAUCUCUAAGGCAGUCAUUACAAACUGAUUCCUUUCCGCUCGCUGGAACCACGUGGCCCAGAAUUCAGAGGCUGCGGGACGGGGACGUUUGUGUCUGCCUGGCCUUGCUGGCCCAUCCUCCCUGCCAAGGUCCCGGCUCUCCUGGGUCUGUCUCAAGGAUUUCCUUCAGCCCACUGUCCAGGGCAGCAGUCAGCGUGACGGUCUCUCACCCUGUUCUGUCCUGAGGCUGACUGUGCCUGGCUCUGCGUCUGAGCACGGAGACACCACCCUGGAAGUGCUCUCCCAGGAGGGGAGGUGGCCCCGCGGAGAUGACCCCACCCUUCAGCGCCCAAACACGAGGAAGGGACGUAAACUAGUGGCCACGUGACCUUGGUCAUGGCGGUUAUGUGGGAUGGCCCUUCCUGCUGCAGUGAGACCCACGGGACCCGCCCUGAGCCCCUCUGCUCUGUCCGGGAACAACAAGCUGCUCCCACACACGGCGGGUCCUCCUUGGCUCCCGCCUCGCCCAGGAACUGUGCCUCCAGCACCACCAACGCCACCAAGACACAGUGAGUAGCACUGCUGAGUCAGCCACUUGUAAGGAGCCUUCCAGAAGCCCUGUCCAGCACUUCUUCUCACACUCCCUCAGGAGGUCUCCACUGUACAGUCACACACAGCUGCAAGGAACUUCGGGGGUCUAGGGAAGAUGUCUGGCUUGGCCGGGACAAGUGUGAGUGCAGCAGCUUGGGAUGGGAGCCCUUGGGGGCAAGUCUGCCCCCACCCAGCAGAGCGAGAGGACAGGACCUGGGAUGAGCCCCCCAGAGCCCUGCCCAGGAACACAGACGAGCACCUGCUCCUGCCUGCCGGACUUGGGUGGACCCCAGGCCCUCCUCCUGGUGGUCCCGAGGCCCCACCUCUGAAGUUCCAGGACCCCAGCAGGGUCUUCAGGGACCAGCAGGAUCCACAAAUGGGGGCACACAGCUAGCCUCGACAGUGUCUGUCACCAAGACCGGGGGCAAGGGCCUGCCGACCCCCUGCAGUCGCUCAGGACAUGACAGCCUCGGGCCUCUCUGUCCAGCACUCGUGAUGGGCAAAGCUCAAGCCCGGAUGCCUGGGCUGGAGGCCGAUCUGUCCAGAGAAGCCCUUCAGUGGGGCUCCUCGGCCCCCAGCCCUGCCCUGCUUCCCGAACACUGGACCACUGGGCAGCCUCACAGAUCCCGUCCACACAGGCUCAGCUUCACUCUGGUCCAGCCCGGACACCAGCAGUAGGGGUCUCCAUGGAGGGUCCCCAGGAGCCCUCACCCAGGCCUGGGGUCAGCAGGCAGCACCCCCAGAGCGCCCAGGAAAGGGGGCCAGUCAGAGCCCAUCCCCCCCACCCACCUCACAGGUCAGCAGGAGCCCCCCUCAGGGCGCAGCCAGAGAGGACAGGGCCCCUGGCCCCAAGCCAGAGUGGAGGCCCCAUGUCCUCCCCUGGAACCAACGGGGAGGCUGAGCACAGAGGUGAGCUGCCACGGCCUCGCAGCUGGACGGCCUCCCGCAA